rnacentral:tRNA from 1 species
GGUGACAUAGCCAAGUGGUUUAGGCAGUUGAUUGCAAAUCAACCUACCCCGGUUCGAGUCCGGGUGUCACCU